CGCGUGUUUCGUCUACAAAAGAUUCAUCAGUGAAGCUCAAAUCCAAAAAAAGUUAAAAAGCCCAAAUAAAGUACGAUGUUAAGGAGCCUCGUUUACAAACAAGCUAUGCUUUCAUGAAGUUCAGGUUAGAAUAGUUUAUUGACCGAAGUGCAAUUAAUUCUGAAUUAAUGAUUUUGGUUAUUAAUCUAUUCUUAGGGGCCAC
rnacentral:lncRNA from 1 species